rnacentral:rRNA from 1 species
UACGUAGGGGGCGAGCGUUGUCCGGAUUUAUUGGGCGUAAAGAGCGUGUAGGCGGCCAGGUAGGUCUGCUGUGAAAACUCGAGGCUCAACCUCGAGACGUCGGCGGAAACCAUCUGGCUAGAGUCCGGAAGAGGAGAGUGGAAUUCCUGGUGUAGCGGUGAAAUGCGCAGAUAUCAGGAAGAACACCCGUGGCGAAGGCGGCUCCUCUGGGCCGGUACUGACACUGAGGAGCGAAAGCGUGGGGAGCGAACAGG